rnacentral:rRNA from 1 species
UACGUAGGGUGCAAGCGUUAAUCGGAAUUACUGGGCGUAAAGCGUGCGCAGGCGGUUUUGUAAGUCUGUCGUGAAAUCCCCGGGCUCAACCUGGGAAUUGCGAUGGAGACUGCAAGGCUAGAAUCUGGCAGAGGGGGGGUAGAAUUCCACGUGUAGCAGUGAAAUGCGUAGAGAUGUGGAGGAACACCGAUGGCGAAGGCAGCCCCCUGGGUCAAGAUUGACGCUCAUGCACGAAAGGCGUGGGGAGCAAACGAGGAUUACGAAA